rfam:Celeribacter halophilus strain CGMCC 1.8891 genome assembly, contig: Ga0070548_111
GCGGAUGGCUGGAUAAUCGCCGCUUCGAGCAAUCGGAGGGGAGGAAAGUCCGGACUCCCUUGAGCAACGGUGCCGGGUAACGCCCGGCGGGGGCAACCCCAGGGAUAGCGCCACAGAGAACAGACUGCCCUCUCAUACGGGGGUGAUGGUGAAACGGUGGGGUAAGAGCCCACCGCGCGACUGGCAACAGGAGCGGCACGGCAAGCCCCACCGGGAGCAAUGCCAAAUAGGGGUUCUACGCGAGGACUGUGUGCGCAAGCAUACCGCUCGCAAGGUCGCUCAAGCCUGAGAACCCGGGUUGGCAGCUUGAGCCGUCUGGUAACAGGCGGCCUAGAGGAAUGGUUAUCCAAGGCGGGUUUCCCGCCGGGACAGAAUCCGGCUUACAGGCCAUCCGCGUCA